rnacentral:lncRNA from 1 species
GUGUCACGGGCCGAAGGAAGUCAGCUGUGGGGUAGAUUUGUACGAGAUCGCUGGACCCUAAGGAACCCAGAAAAUGCAAGCAAGAUGACUAAAUGACUAGCACCAGUCUAUUUGGGAACUAAGGAAUCAAAAGAAGAGGAGAAAGAUGACUCUUCCCAAAGAAGAAAUUUGAGACUUAGAUAAACCGAAGUUCACACUGCUAACGAAUGGCAGAGUCUAGAUUCCAGUCCAACUCUCCAAUGCC